rnacentral:rRNA from 1 species
UGGGGAAUUUUGGACAAUGGGCGCAAGCCUGAUCCAGCCAUGCCGCGUGCAGGAUGAAGGCCUUCGGGUUGUAAACUGCUUUUGUACGGAACGAAAAGACUCUGGUUAAUACCUGGGGUCCAUGACGGUACCGUAAGAAUAAGCACCGGCUAACUACGUGCCAGCAGCCGCGGUAAUACGUAGGGUGCGAGCGUUAAUCGGAAUUACUGGGCGUAAAGCGUGCGCAGGCGGUUUUGUAAGACAGGCGUGAAAUCCCUGGGCUCAACCUGGGAAUUGCGCUUGUGACUGCAAGGCUGGAGUGCGGCAGAGGGGGAUGGAAUUCCGCGUGUAGCAGUGAAAUGCGUAGAUAUGCGAGGAACAUCGAUGGCGAAGGCAAUCCCCUGGGCCUGCACUGACGCUCAUGCACGAAAGCGUGGGGAGCAAACAGGAUUAGAUACCCCUGUAGUCCCUGAGCGGGCUGGCAAGGCGCAU